rnacentral:rRNA from 1 species
GGCGGCGUGCUUAACACAUGCAAGUCGAGCGGUAAGGCCCUUCGGGGUACACGAGCGGCGAACGGGUGAGUAACACGUGGGUGAUCUGCCUUGCACUCUGGGAUAAGCCUGGGAAACUGGGUCUAAUACCGGAUAUGACCCUGGACUGCAUGGUCUGGGUUGGAAAGAUUUAUCGGUGCGAGAUGGGCCCGCGGCCUAUCAGCUUGUUGGUGAGGUAACGGCUCACCAAGGCGACGACGGGUAUCCGACCUGAGAGGGUGACCGGCCACACUGGGACUGAGACACGGCCCAGACUCCUACGGGAGGCAGCAGUGGGGAAUAUUGCACAAUGGGCGCAAGCCUGAUGCAGCGACGCCGCGUGAGGGAUGACGGCCUUCGGGUUGUAAACCUCUUUCGACAGGGACGAAGCGCAAGUGACGGUACCUGUAGAAGAAGCACCGGCCAACUACGUGCCAGCAGCCGCGGUAAUACGUAGGGUGCGAGCGUUGUCCGGAAUUACUGGGCGUAAAGAGCUUGUAGGCGGUUUGUCGCGUCGAUUGUGAAAACUUGCAGCUCAACUGCAAGCUUGCAGUCGAUACGGGCAGACUAGAGUACUGCAGGGGAGACUGGAAUUCCUGGUGUAGCGGUGAAAUGCGCAGAUAUCAGGAGGAACACCGGUGGCGAAGGCGGGUCUCUGGGCAGUAACUGACGCUGAGAAGCGAAAGCGUGGGUAGCGAACAGGAUUAGAUACCCUGGUAGUCCACGCCGUAAACGGUGGGUACUAGGUGUGGGUUUCCUUCCACGGGAUCCGUGCCGUAGCUAACGCAUUAAGUACCCCGCCUGGGGAGUACGGCCGC